UCCAAGGCUGUUGGUUUUCUUAUCUCUGCUUUUAGAGAGAGAGGACGCAAGUCAGAGAGUUUAUGGAAAUUGCUCGGGAUACCAAGGUUCUCCCACAGACCGGAUCUCCAGGAGAGCCUGCUCGUCAUCCUUUCAGCAUCCAGAGGGGUCGGGUGGGGCACACCAUGACAGCUGGCCUGGCAAGGGAGGCAGCACCCGGGGACCUGAGGGUGGUGGUGAAGGGACCUAGAUGAACCAGAUGGCGGUGAAAUGAAACUCGUGUACCAAAUUUUGAAUGCUGAGCUGCUCGUUUCCCUAUCUUCUCAAGGUGGAACCGGGUUGUGACUUCACCCUUUUUCAAGAGGUGAAUUUAUCAUCAGGAAAAGACUAAUGCCAGAAAGCAGUCCCCUUCAAAGAACUCUAAGCUGUCAUCUAUACAAAUGCCAAUGGACUUCAGAGAAAAAUAAAACUGAAACUAUAGAAGGAGCUAUCCAGGGAAGCCCUUACUUGGCAAAACUACAUGAGAAUGUAUGAAUGACUCCAGAAUAAAGUUGGUUG